rnacentral:pre_miRNA from 1 species
AAACCGCCUCCUUAGUUUUGCAACUGUAGCAGUUUUUGCUCCCCAAGACCAAAAAAAUUAAAAAAAAUAACACGCGGCACCUCACUUAGGGUGCCACGUCAGCGUAGACUGAGUCAAAAUUGAUAUCGGGGGCCAAAACUGCUACAGGUGCAAAACUUAGGCGCGGUUU